AGAUAUAAGGCUCCUACACACAAGACGCGGCAACGCUUGCUGCGCGACAAAAAGUGAUGUGGUAGCCAAUAAAUUUUAGGCGAGUUUCCACUGAGCGCGUCAUCCGUCGCGUCAACGAAUUGAUUCGCGCACUCACUGUAGAAAGAGAGGUACUAUAUGGAAGGCCUAUGUUAAUCUUUUUUGCUAGCAUCUCAUUGAUGAUUUUGUUUGGGAGGGAAACUAUCUUCUAAUUAUAGUACCUUUCUUUCUAUAGCGAGCGCGCGCUUGCCUUUCUCAAUGCUUAUUGUCAGUAAUAUAGAUGUCAAUGGUAUGUUUUGUGCUCUUUCACAAUUAUUUUGAGGUUAAAAAGUCAUUAUAUAGUCAAAGAAUUUGAUCAAUAGGUGGAAUCGAUAUUAAAGUACUCGGUCUUCUUAUUUAGAAUGGAAAAUAUGGAAGACGAUGGUUUUAUUUAUGUAGACAAUAUAGAUAGUGAUUGUACACCACCUAAAAAGGCAAAACAAUCACAUCAAAUGCAAAAAUUUAGAAACCUUUGGCUUGCACAAGAAGAAUAUAAAUUGUGGCUUGCAAAAGUUUCUGAUGACCCUUACAAAGCAAAAUGUAAACUGUGCAAUACAACAUUCACGGCAGAGAUAACACAAAACAACGCAUUCAAGGAGAUUGUGUUAAUUUUGAACCAUCAAAAGAUGAGUACUGCAUGACAAACCGUGUUUUAUACGCAAAAGAUGCAAGUGAAUGGAAUGUAGAUGACAUCAUCGUAUCAGAUGAAUGAAAGUCAUAAUAUUUUUAUUUAACUUUUUGCAAUAUUUCAAUGUGAUA